UACGGAGGGCGCGAGCGUUAAUCGGAAUUACUGGGCGUAAAGCGCGCGCAGGCGGCCCUUUAAGUCCCGCGUGAAAUCCCCGGGCUCAACCUGGGAACUGCGCGGGAUACUGGGGGGCUUGAGUGCGGGAGAGGGGUGCGGAAUUUCCGGUGUAGCAGUGAAAUGCGUAGAGAUCGGAAGGAACACCAGUGGCGAAGGCGGCACCCUGGACCGACACUGACGCUGAGGCGCGAAAGCGUGGGGAG
rnacentral:rRNA from 1 species